GACGAACGCUGGCGGCGUGCUUAACACAUGCAAGUCGAACGAAAAGGCCCUGCUUUUGUGGGGUGCUCGAGUGGCGAACGGGUGAGUAACACGUGAGUAACCUGCCCUUGACUUUGGGAUAACUUCAGGAAACUGGGGCUAAUACCGGAUAGGAGCUCCUGCUGCAUGGUGGGGGUUGGAAAGUUUCGGCGGUUGGGGAUGGACUCGCGGCUUAUCAGCUUGUUGGUGGGGUAGUGGCUUACCAAGGCUUUGACGGGUAGCCGGCCUGAGAGGGUGACCGGCCACAUUGGGACUGAGAUACGCCCCAGACUCCUACGGGAGGCAGCAGUGGGGAAUAUUGCACAAUGGGCGGAAGCCUGAUGCAGCAACGCCGCGUGCGGGAUGACGGCCUUCGGGUUGUAAACCGCUUUCGCCUGUGACGAAGCGUGAGUGACGGUAAUGGGUAAAGAAGCACCGGCUAACUACGUG
rnacentral:rRNA from 1 species